ACAUAGCUUAUUGGGUAGAAUAGCACUUGCUUUGCAUGCAGAAAGUCCCAGGUUCAAUCCCUUGUUUCUCCA